GAUGAACGCUAGCUACAGGCUUAACACAUGCAAGUCGAGGGGCAGCAUGAACAAAGCUUGCUUUGUUUGAUGGCGACCGGCGCACGGGUGCGUAACACGUAUCCAAUCUGCCCGCGGCUCGGGGAUAGCCCAUCGAAAGAUGGAUUAAUACCCGAUGGCGUGGUCGCCCCGCAUGGGGUUUCCACUAAAGGUUUUCCGGCCGCGGAUGGGGAUGCGUAUGCUUAGGUAGUAGGCGGGGUAACGGACCACCUAGCCUUCGAUCAUUAGGGGUUCUGAGAGGAAGGUCCCCCACACUGGAACAGAGACACGGUCCAGACUCCUACGGGAGGCAGCAGUGAGGAAUAUUGGUCAAUGGGCGAGAGCCUGAACCAGCCAAGUAGCGUGAAGGAAGACUGCCCUAUGGGUUGUAAACUUCUUUUGUUCGGGAAUAAAGUGCAGUAUGUAUACUGUUUUGUAUGUACCGUUCGAAUAAGCAUCGGCUAAUUCCGUGCCAGCCGCCGCGGUAAUAC
rnacentral:rRNA from 1 species